AUGCUCCUAUACAAAAAAAAACUGAAGGAGGGCCUGCUAAACUGCAAAGUUAAUGAUGAUGUGGUUUUAUCAAUCAAGGAGCAAAUGACGGAGGUUCCGGAGUUAGGGGUUGAUGAAAUUUCUGCCGCCCGCGAAAAUGAGAGGAAAAUGGGCUUACGAGAGAAAUUAAGAUUGAUGGUUUCCGACAUGCUUAAGAUCACAGUAUUUGUCAAGAAAGAUGAGGAACAAUUGUUAAAAGAGUUAAAGGAUCAGUUGGAUGAUGAUGAUCUGCAGCUCGAUCAGAAUUACAACCAUGUUAACUUGGUUCAGAAAGGAAUACUGGCUCGGAAGAACGAUUAUGAAAAGAAAUAUACUACGGCUGAUUCUCUUAGAAGAAAAUUGAGCUAUUACGAUGAUCUUGUAUCGUCGCAGGAAGCCAAGUAUAGAACAAUUAAGAAAAGAGAAAGAGAUAUGUUCAAGCAAGUAAUUGAGGAAACACGUGAUUGGUUACAUGUCCAAACAAAUAUGCUAUCAAGUUUGUCAACAAAGGACGAUUCCAUCUCUUUUGUUCCUAAUGUAAACAAAAAACUCAAACUUCUUCAAGAAACCUGGGAUGCAGUACAACUGGAAAGGGAACCAGAAAUCGAGCAAGUAACAUAUGACAUGACGCUUGAAAGCCAUAGGAGCAUGAUAGAUGAUUUCCGUGUCAGAUUAGUGAAGGGUCGGGAGAAAGCGAAGAUAAAAAGUUGUUAUCUGCUCCCAUAUCAAGUGGAGUUCAACAGAGUUCCUUUGAAAUGGUUCCGACUGAAACUAAUAGGCAGAGAUGAUGAUUAUACUACUGUCCACGUAAAAAAUCAUAAUGCUUACACCAUGGCCUUCAGCAACAAGGAAGAGCAAGUGUAUGAGAUGGGCCCUGCACUUAAAGAUACAAAAAAAGUGGUUGUUGCCACAAUUCCUGGAGCAGUUCUAGUGGGCUUCAAUUGUGACUAUGUCAACAUGAUUAACCCGACCCCGCCGUUUUUGAAGAAUGAACAGUUAGCGGCAAAAAUGUGUGAACUCAAAUUGGGGGAAGAUCCUUGGUUUGAUGCCAUACACGUGCUCUCAAACCAUGGCUGUAAUCCUGGUCAUCACAAGGGCUGUUCACUUUGUAAUGCUCCAUAUGCUGUCAGACGAGCUGUAAUGACCAUUAAUUUUAUGCUGAAUGAGCCUGCAAGGAUAAACACGGUCUGUGACGCUGUGUUAGGUGGCCUAAGCUUCACUGAAGUUCUCAUCUAUUGCAUAUGGCAUUGGAAGGAUAUGUCAUUGGAGCUGCGGGAGUGGGCUCUUGAUAAUAUGAAGACAAGUAUUGAAAAAACGCUGGCAAAGAAGAUAAGUGAACACACAGUUGAUGAGUUAGCACUUGUAUUAUAUCUGGUUCUCAACUCGAUUGGUCCUGGAAAAGUAGUGUUGGACACUGCUGAGGAUGGAUCAUCAUCAGGACCUUCGCGGUCAUCGGGUGAGGAUGAUGGUGGUCAGGACAAAAAAGGAAAAAAGCAGGCUCAACCACCAUUACCUAGAACACCUGGCAGCGAUGACGGUGCUAACAAGGGGCAGCCACAAUCGCUAGCUGGUCCUGGUAAAACACUUCUUCAGAUCUUCACUGUAUGCCUCAAAGGUAUGAAGCUGCGUGACAUAGAAGCCAUUCUUGUGCAUGAAGAUCGGGGCAGUCAUGUUAUCUAUUCACGUAAUGAUACUCAUGGGUUCCGGCUUUCUGGGCCAGAUUUGGCCAUUUCGUCCGAAGCUGGAUCUUACCUUGAGAUCAUUCCAAGUACAACCAAGACCAUGAAUAGUGAUACUGAUGACAUUUUCAUGUGUUUGGACGACGGGUUCUCCUGUUAUAAUCAAACUAUGUCAAAGACCAUGAAUUAUGGCGGCGGCCAGGUACUUGUGGUCUAUGCUGUCUUAACAGGAGCCGUAGAGCUCAAUGUUGAAAUCAAGCUGAAGCUGCCACGAACUGGUAAGACAUACUCGAUCAGUGGUUUGGUUUCAGUAGACCAGGGCAUAGGAGCCAGCAGCAUAUUAUCUGUCGACCGAGGAGAUUAUGUUUCUAUGCAUGAGCAAUCUGUACGCUCUAGAGCACCUGGGCUGGGGCUUGUUGACCUUGUCCAUUCCAUGCCAAUAAUAUUACCAUUAUCUCGUUCAGUUCUCGCUGUGAAGCUGGGUGAGACUAUCACGUUUCAUGGCAACCUGUUUAUCGGUGCUCAGCCAGUAACCUUUUAUGAAGCAAUCCAAAUACCAUCAAAUGUUGACAUCAUUGAACAUAUUGAGACACCAUGGACGCAGCAAGGCGAGUUUUCCUCGAGUUUAAAUGUUACUUUGAUCAACAGAAAUAUUUGA
rnacentral:rRNA from 1 species